AAGAGAGUUUACAGACUCCAACCCUAUGUGAACGUACCUAGACCUCCGUUGCUUCGGCGGGAGGCUCCCCCCCGACGCGGGGGUUGAGCCCCCGGGCCUCGCCGUGACGCACGCCGCUGGAGCCCGGCCUGCCGAAGCCUCGGGACACCAAACUCUUCUGUCAUACGUAUUGGACCUCUGAGUACAGACAAAACAAAUCAGUCAAAACUUUCAACAACGGAUCUCUUGGUUCUGGCAUCGAUGAAGAACGCAGCGAAAUGCGAUAAGUAAUGUGAAUUGCAGAAUUCAGUGAAUCAUCGAAUCUUUGAACGCACAUUGCGCCCGCUAGUAUUCUGGCGGGCAUGCCUGUUCGAGCGUCAUUUCAACCCCUCAAGCCCCGCAAGGUUAGGCUUGGUGUUGGGGCGACCCGGAGCCCGCAGCGGCCCCGGGCCCCCUAAAGACAUCGGCGGACCCCCUGUGGACUCCGAGCGCAGUAGUUCUAACGCCUCGCUCUGGAGAGCCCGGGGCGGCCUUCCAGCCGCUAAACCCCCCAAUUUUACAAGGUUGACCUCGGAUCAGGUAGGAAUACCCGCUGAACUUAAGCAUAUCAAUAAGCGGAGGAAAAGAAACCAACAGGGAUUGCCCUAGUAACGGCGAGUGAAGCGGCAACAGCUCAAAUUUGAAAUCUGGCCCCCAGGCCCGAGUUGUAAUUUGUAGAGGAUGCUUCUGGCGCGGCGCCAUCUGAGUUCCCUGGAACGGGACGCCGAAGAGGGUGAGAGCCCCGUAGAGAUGGACGCCUAGCCUCUGUGUAGCUCCUUCGACGAGUCGAGUAGUUUGGGAAUGCUGCUCAAAAUGGGAGGUAAAUUUCUUCUAAAGCUAAAUACCGGCCAGAGACCGAUAGCGCACAAGUAGAGUGAUCGAAAGAUGAAAAGCACUUUGAAAAGAGGGUUAAACAGCACGUGAAAUUGUUGAAAGGGAAGCGCCUGUGACCAGACUUGCGCCCGGCGGAUCAUCCGGCGUUCUCGCCGGUGCACUCCGCCGGGCUCAGGCCAGCAUCGGUUCUCCCAGUGGGAUAAAGGCGCCGGGAACGUAGCUCCUCCGGGAGUGUUAUAGCCCGGCGUGCAAUGCCUCGGGGGGACCGAGGACCGC
rnacentral:rRNA from 1 species